rnacentral:tRNA from 1 species
UUCCUGGUGGCUCAGACAGUAAAGUAUCUGCCUGCAAUGUGGGAGACCUGGGUUCGAUCCCUGGCCUGGAGG